UUCCUUAACCAUGCCUUAAUGAUUGUCCCGUACAAUAAAAAUGAUAUUUUUUGGCGUUGGCGUUGUAAUGGUCGGCACCCAUAUAUAUAUUUGAAAUACCUUAAAAAAAUAUGGGUAUUCUACGAUUUAAAAAGAAAAAGAUAAAAAUACUAUUUUAAUAGGUAUCGGUAUUGAAGUGGUCGGCACCGGUUAAAAAAAAAAAGGAUUGAGGAGGAAGAGAGCUACACUUCAAUUAUGUCAAUUGGCUCGAAAGAUGUCGAUGAUGGCAUAUUGCAUAGUGGAGUGAAUGAGGCAGCUAGGGCAAAUUGAGAAGAAAGAAGAGAAGUAAAAAAUAAAAAAGAAACCAAAACUAAUCUGUAACCAUUAUUGGGGAACAGUUACAAUGAUAAAUCAAUAAAAGAAAAAAAAA
rnacentral:lncRNA from 1 species